rnacentral:tRNA from 1 species
AGGGUUGAAGUUUUUAACAAUUGAUUUGCAAUCAAUAAAUUAUUGAAUUUUUCAAUCUACCUUA